GGGUGACAUCAAAUCUGUCACUACACCCGUAGAAACCUAUGUGGCGUUGCCUUCGGACAGGGGUUCGACUCCCCUCGCCUCCAUAU
rnacentral:tmRNA from 1 species